ensembl:lncRNA
AGAUACUCCAGCCAGUUCAGAGGCAGAUGAAGCAUCAGCGGUGGGAGAUGCACAGGAUCCCUUCAGGGCCUGUGAGGGUUACGGAAGAAUACCCAAAACACAGAGAUUACAGCAACAGGAUAUUUAUUCACAACAAUUUAGGAACAGUGAGCAAUAAGGUGAGUAAACUGAGCAAUGAUAUUAAUGUGGAGCUGAUGAGGAAUCUAAUCGCAGUCUUAUCUUACAGGGCCAGGAGAUUGUGGAAAGGCAGAGGGAGGAAUGAAGCUCACACGCACGCCGACGCUUGCUUGUAGGUGAUGGAGGCACAGAAACGAUGGAGGACAAGGAUGAGGAGAACAUGCUGGAGAAUCACAGGAGGUGAGUAUAGGAAUGACACAGGAGAACUAGCUUGGAGUAUCCGUAGGGAAAGUGGGGAAUGGGUCCUUAAUGUGUAAAUGAGACCGGACACUGAAGUGAGGUGAUGUGUGUGGUUUUGAAGACAGCGUGAUGAGCGUGCAGAUGAGUAGCAGGUGUGUGUGAUUAGAAUUCAGGUGAGGGGAUGCGCUGGGAUUGGCUGGUGUGAAGACCUGUCUGUUCUGUUACAGUGAGAGGACCAAACAUGUUUUUGAGACAAAAAAAAAAAUAAUAAUGAUGGCAGCAUCACCUGUUUACAGUUGUUGUCCUACACUGUCAGUGACAAAGACACAUACCAAAGAAAAAAGAAAGUGACAGAGGAAGUAUAAAUGUAUAUUUUUUUUCCCCUUUAAAAUAAGCAAAAGUAUGAAAUAACAUAUUCUGAUAGAGAACAGCUUGGAACCCCAGAACUUGUUUCUUUCUUUGUGUAUAUAGAUAGAUAGAUAGAUAGAUAGAUAGAUAGAUAGAUAGAUAGAUAGAUAGAUAGAUAGAUAGAUAGAUAGAUAGAGACAUGAAGAGUUCAGAUGCAAAAGGCUCUAAAUGCCGUCUGAAAUUGUCUUCUAAGAUUUUAUCUUUAUGAGGCUCCUGGGUUUAUGUUCAGUUUUUUCACUUUAAU